UACGUAGGGUGCAAGCGUUGUCCGGAAUUAUUGGGCGUAAAGAGCUCGUAGGCGGUUUGGUAAGUCUGGUGUGAAAUCUCCACGCUCAACGUGGAGGGGCCACCCGAUACUGCCAUGACUGGAGUCCGGUAGAGGAGUGUGGAAUUCCCGGUGUAGCGGUGAAAUGCGCAGAUAUCGGGAGGAACACCCGUAGCGAAGGCGGCACUCUGGGCCGGUACUGACGCUGAGGAGCGAAAGCGUGGGGAGCAAACAGG
rnacentral:rRNA from 1 species